rnacentral:rRNA from 1 species
GGAAUAUUGGUCAAUGGACGGAAGUCUGAACCAGCCAUGCCGCGUGCAGGAUUAAGGCCCUAUGGGUCGUAAACUGCUUUUGUGGUGGAGCAAUAAGACGUACGUGUACGUCGAUGAGAGUACAUCACGAAUAAGCAUCGGCUAACUCCGUGCCAGCAGCCGCGGUAAUACGGAGGAUGCAAGCGUUAUCCGGAUUUAUUGGGUUUAAAGGGUGCGUAGGCUGUUCGUCAAGUCAGAGGUGAAAUACCUGAGCCUAACUCAGGAACUGCCUUUGAUACUGGCGAGCUGGAAUACGGAUGCCGUGGGAGGAAUGAGUAGUGUAGCGGUGAAAUGCAUAGAUAUUACUCAGAACACCGAUUGCGAAGGCAUCUCACGAAUCCGUCAUUGACGCUGAGGCACGAAAGCGUGGGGAUCAAACA